UUGGUUUUAGUGUGCUGCUGGACGACCAGAUCCAGAGUCUGGUGAGCCAGUGAGUGAGGGCAGCUGGCUGUGGCCCAGCGCUGUGUGACCCGGAGGAGCCACUCACUCUCUCUGAGAUGCUGGACAUCAUAAGAUCCACCUCUGAUGUUCAGUGAAGACUACCAGAAAAGUCUGCUAGAGCAGUACCAUCUGGGUCUGGAUCAAAAACUCAGAAAAUACGUGGUUGGAGAGCUCAUCUGGAAUUUUGCCGAUUUCAUGACUAACCAGUGUGGUUGAGGAGUGGGCCCAGGGCACCUUCAAACUCAACCCCAAUGAUGAGGACAUCCACACAGCCAACAAGUGCCACCUGAAGGUGGUCACGGACCUCAGGUUGUGGAUGUGGCAGACCUGCUUCACGCUCUCGGGCCUCCUCUGGGAGCUCAUCAGGACUAUGGGGGAUUGGGCAGAGGUGUUCCUGCUCCAGCGUGGCUCCUGGACUGGCGCCAGAUGCUGGCCCUGGGGGUUUCAAUCCAAGCAUAAUUCAGUGAAGCAUGUGUUUGGCAGUGGGACCCAGCUCACUGUUUUAGGUCAGCCCAAGACUACCCCGUCGGUCAUUCUGUUCCUGCCGUCCUGUGAGGAGCCCCAAGCCAACAAGGCCACACUGGUGUGUCUCAUGAAUAACUUUAUCCGGGAAUCUUGAUGGUGACCUGGAAGGCAGAUGGUACCCUCAUCACCCAGAGCGUGGAGAAGACCACGCCCUCCAAACAGAGCAACAACAAGUACGUGGCCAGCAGCUACCUGAGCCUGACGCCCGAGCAGUGGAGGUCCCGCAGAAGCUACAGCUGCCAGGUUAUGCAAGAAGGGAGCACCGUGGAGAAGUCAGUGGCCCCUGCAGAAUGUUCAUAGGUUCCAGCCCCCACCCCACCCACAGGGGCCUGGAGCUGCAGGAUCCCAGGGGAGGGGUCUCUCUCUGCAUCCCAAGCCAUUCAGCCCUUCUCGCUGUACCCAGUAAACCCUCAAUAAAUAUCUUUGUCAGC
rnacentral:lncRNA from 1 species